rnacentral:rRNA from 1 species
AGCAGCCGCGGUAAUACGGAGGGGGCUAGCGUUGUUCGGAUUUACUGGGCGUAAAGCGCACGUAGGCGGUUUGUUAAGUCAGAGGUGAAAUCCCGGAGCUCAACUCCGGAACUGCCUUUGAUACUGGCAAGCUAGAGUCCGGAAGAGGUAAGUGGAACUCCUAGUGUAGAGGUGGAAUUCGUAGAUAUUAGGAAGAACACCAGUGGCGAAGGCGGCUUACUGGUCCGGAACUGACGCUGAGGUGCGAAAGCGUGGGGAGCGAACAGGAUUAGAUACCCUGGUAGUCCACGCCGUAAAC